rnacentral:rRNA from 1 species
AGAGUUUGAUCCUGGCUCAGGACGAACGCUGGCGGCGUGCCUCAAACAUGCAAGUCGAACGAACGGAGGGUUGAACCGCAAGGGGAGACCGAAGUUAGUGGCGAACGGGUGAGUAAGGCGUGGGUAACCUACCCAGAAGACUGGGAUAACGGACCGAAAGGACCGCUAAUACCGGAUAAUAUCCAGUUACCGCAUGGUAGUUGGAAGAAAGGCGCAAGCCACUUUUGGAUGGGCUCGCGACCCAUCAGCUAGUUGGUGAGGUAAUGGCUCACCAAGGCGACGACGGGUAGCCGGUCUGAGAGGAUGGUCGGCCACACUGGGACUGAGAUACGGCCCAGACUCCUACGGGAGGCAGCAGUUGGGAAUAUUGGGCAGUGGGCGAAAGCCUGACCCAGCGACGCCGCGUGAGGGAAGAAGGCCUUCGGGUUGUAAACCUCUGUCAUCGGGGACGAAGGAAAUGACGGUACCCGAGGAGGAAGCCCCUGCUAACUACGUGCCAGCAGCCGCGGUAAUAUGUAGGGGGCGAGCGUUGUCCGGAGUUAUUGGGCGUAAAGGGCGUGUAGGCGGUUUGUUAAGUUAGGUGUGGAAAUUCAGGGCUUAACCCUGAACUUGCGCUUAAAACUGGCAGACUAGAGGACAGGAGAGGGAAGUGGAAUUCCCGGUGUAGCGGUGGAAUGCGUAGAUAUCGGGAGGAACACCAGUGGCGAAGGCGGCUUCCUGGACUGAACCUGACGCUGAGGCGCGAAAGCUAGGGGAGCAAACAGGAUUAGAUACCCUGGUAGUCCUAGCUGUAAACGAUGAAUGCUAGGUGUGGGGGGUUGAAAUCCCUCCGUGCCGGAGUUAACGCAAUAAGCAUUCCGCCUGGGGAGUACGGCCGCAAGGCUAAAACUCAAAGGAAUUGACGG